UGAGGAAUAUUGGACAAUGGAUGGAAAUCUGAUCCAGCCAUGCCGCGUGCAGGAAGACGGCCCUAUGGGUUGUAAACUGCUUUUGUAUGGGAGCAAUAAGGACUACGUGUAGUUUGAUGAGAGUACCAUACGAAUAAGCAUCGGCUAACUCCGUACCAGCAGCCGCGGUAAUACGGAGGAUGCGAGCGUUAUCCGGAUUUAUUGGGUUUAAAGGGUGCGUAGGCGGCGAUAUAAGUCAGUGGUGAAAUAUUUCGGCUUAACCGAGAGACUGCCAUUGAUACUGUGUUGCUAGAAUAUGGUUUCUGUUAGUGGAAUGUGUGGUGUAGCGGUGAAAUGCUGAGAUAUCACACAGAAUAUCGAUUGCGAAGGCAGCUCACAAAGCCAUUAUUGACGCUGAGGCACGAAAGUGUGGGGAUCAAACA
rnacentral:rRNA from 1 species